UCAAGUCAUCAUAUCCAUUGUGACCGACAUCCAAUCUGGCUGUGGCUUGUCGUUUCUGCAUGGCUCUCUGCUUAAAUUAAUUGGUUUAAGUGUUUAUUACAAAAGUUUUCAGCCGUAUUCGGCUACAACAGUUAAGUGUUGAAAUCCGGUGAUGUAUCAAGUGUUACUUGAGGUGCUGAAUAAUCUAUUGACUGGCUUUUAUUCAUCCAGUUCAGCAAUCAGCAAUUACUUAAGAAGAAGAGCAGGGAAGAACAGCAACGGCAAAACGAUCAGCUGAUUGUCAUUUGGCGGGAAUGCAGCAGCCCCACCUAAUCGCCCAGGGUGUUCCAGUUAAUUUGUGGUUGGCUGCGCCAUCGGCACAUUUCGACUUUCCCAUCCUGCCUCAAACGUUUGCAAGGCGACAUAAGUCCUCUCUCCUCUUCUCCAUUUCCAGGUCGAAUUGUAGACGACUGGUACAACACGAGAAAGAGAACGGCAGACCACGUCACGGGCACGCCCUUUUCCGGCAUCGACAAAAGAAGGAACAAUUUAGUUGAAUUUUUAGAAUCUAAUUUUAAUUUUCGAAAGAGGUUUACCUUGGCUCUGCUUUCCACUUAAUAUUCCUCAAUUGAAAACGAAGAAAUAAUGCUAUUGAGGCCACAAUUCACUGUCGGGAUUGUUUUUUCUGCUUCCAAUAGCCGUGAGUCGUGUAAAAUGGUGAGCGUGAUAGGACAGACUACGAAGACUUUGUAGUCUGUGGUGAUAGUGACAGCUCGACUGGCGGUGAGUUUGCGCACAACGGGCCUUUUUAGUAUUUUGGCCUCAAUUCUAUUUUGUUCAAGCUCCACCCAUUUUAAAGCAUUUUCCAGCGCCAGAGGGGGCCAAGCAUUUUCCAAAUGGCUUUCUAUUUCUUUCCCUCCCUCUUCUUCUUCUCCUCGUUUUCUUUAGUGUUUAGUUCGUGUUUUCAUCAUUUGUCGGAACUCUGUCUGAGAAUUCGAACAAAAAGGAAAGGGAAAAAGGGAAACUGAAACAAGAAUUACUAUGAACUUUGUGCCGACAUUGGGAGUGGGUCUGGAACGCCGAAUGUUUCCCGAAAAAUCAUAAAAAGCGCGUCCUUGAAAUUUGUGCACGCGUUUCUUUUUAUAAAUAUAUUUUGACUGGUAGAUGUGUCGCCAGUGUGGUCGAGACUCGGGACAGGAUAAGAGCAGUGUGUAAUUACAGUCGUCCUUCGAGUUGUUCGUCAGUGCUUUUUUAGUAGCUGGGAUAACCAAGAAGCAGGAAUUUUUUUUUUUUUUAAUGAUUGGCUUGAAGCAGAAUUCUAACAAAUUUCGAGCGCUGUUAUAAAGCGACUAAUGCAAAAGAGGGACCGCAGGGGCCCCGAUCAGACGGUGGCUAGUCCUCGGCAACACAACAUUGGAAUUUGCCGAAAUCUUUAUUAAAAAUUCACCUUUUUUUAUUCUAGAUGUUGUAUUGUAGGGGUUUUCGCAUAGAAAGCUUUUCCAACCUUCGGGCCGUUCAAUAGCAACUGAAAAAACCUGGCCGUGGCAAAUGUAUGGAGGGACCAAGGAGACGAGCGUGUCCCGGUAAAUGUGAAGAAAAUCGUUUCUGCUCUUGGCGCCGUAAAUUUGCCCAAUUUGAAAUCCAUAAAUUCUUGUGAUGUUGACUCGUUCAACUUCGAACGGGAUCGUCGGGUCUUCUUGCACCCCCAAAGCGAGCGGUUUCAACUUCCUCAUUCAACUGUUUUGCAUUUUUACGAUUAAGGCGAAAGCCAUUCUGUAAUGGGGAAAAAAUUAAUAAAAUGUCUCACGAUAUUUCAGCAUAGUGAGGGGCGGUCAAAUUUUCGCAUCUCAUUCCGACGGACUUCAAACAGGGUCUGUAAUCGUGGGUUUCAAUCCCGACUGCAAUCGAUUGAACUCGGACAUAAUCGAUUGGGUGUAGUUAAUUACACCAAAAGAAAUCGGAUCGUAUGCCCCGAUUAAAAACCCCGAUAGUGCCCCCUUUCUACCAUGCUUACCUUGAUUUUUACCCCGAUUCCUCCCCUGAAACUUGUUUAUUGUUCACUGCCCCUUACAACGAAUUCAUUUUUUUUUUCGAAUGAGAUAAAAGGUAAAAAAGAACAAAAAAUAAUAAGCUGACAUUUUUCCUGUUAGGAUGCUAAACUUUUAAGUAUGAGAGUUCAACAUCGUCCUAGACUCCUAGCUGCCAUAUCCUUUCUUUUAAGAUGCAACAAAAGUGACGAAAAUACAAGCAACAACAGUGUCAUCGCGCGGUGGAAAAACAAAGCUUGUACUCGCCGCCUGUCGAUCAUGGAAGAGAACCUAUAUAAAGCCAUGCACCAAAACUGCAGGCAUUUUCGAUGUUGUCUAUUGACGAUGGUGGUUGUAAGUAUUUGCGUAGUCGAAUUUUAAGGUUUUUAUUGUAUUGGAGUUUUUGUUGGUUUUAGUUUACUGUACUAGAAUGUGUUGGUAAAAAUUCUCAUUUCUCCUUUUCUUAGAAACGUAUUAUUCAAAUUAACGUGUUAUCUGUAGUCAGUUUACAAACUAAGAUAUUCAUUCCUAGCUAGGAUUACCGUAGGUUCUAGUUUGCAUUUCGACAGAUUGUAUGUUGUUGGCCAAGGAAGUCGAAGUCAUAUUCAAUUUUCUAGAUUGUGCUGGGCAUAUUCGCUCAACAUUAAUCACUCUUGGCUCAUUAAAAUCUUUUCUUGGCAAGUGAAUUUUUGAAUGUGUGCUCAUGAAAGGCGCUUUUGUUUGAGGUAAUGUGAUAGUCAAUAUUAAAAUAUUUGGGUUCAAGUUAAUAAUUACUUAUGUUUUUUGUAUUAUUAAAUAAUUUGGAAAAUUGUUAAAAAGUAGGGUGACCAUGGAUAACAAAGCAUUUCAACAGAAUUUUUCCUGCUUGCACAUGCUGUCCAUGAGGCUAUGUUUAGUUGGUUACAGUUACUGCAUGUACAUAGUUUAGAAUGUUUAAGGAUGACUAUUAAGUCUGUUUUCUAGGAUUAACACUUUAUUGUAUUAGAAGUAAAUUGUUAAUGGUUUUGGCAUGAUUAAAUUCAAAUUUGAGUCAAUUUAUCAACAUGUUGGACCACUAUUUGAUGGUAAAGUAGCCUGGUGAUACUCCUUACAUGGUAACUUACUAUUAAGCGUUCAUAUCUUUUCAAUGUUUGAUUUGAAUCUACUUAAAGAAUGGAUAAUUUUAGUAUAUCAACCAUGAACUUCUUGUGUUAAUGUCAUUUUUGUGCUAUACACCUGUUUCUUUCAAUUUAGCAUAAGGUGUGCUUAGUGAAUCUUUAAUUUUUCACUCUGGUGUUCUGAUGAAGGUAAGAUUGCUAAGGUGUAAGUUGUUUAUUUCAGUGUUUAUUCAGCUCAUGUAAAUUCCUGUCUUCUUUACAGAUACAUCCUGUUGCUUGGUGGACCAUUGUUUUUUAUUGUAUUACUUUGCUACUGUGGGUUGACUCAUUGCAGGCAUGAUGUGAAUGUAAUUUUUGUUUCUCUGUUAGGAAAGAAAGCUUGUUAAGGUUAUAACUUUAUCAAGUUCCAUUUACUAGUUUAUGUAUGUACCAGCCAUCUAUUUUUACCAGCUUCUAUGUAUUCUAUUCGAUAAUUAUCAGACAUGAUAACUGUUUUGACAAGGUCUAUUAUGCUGGUUUGUCAUGAGCGUUGACCAUGUUACACCCUGUGGUGGUUGUUCAAUUGUGGAAUUUAAGUGUUUAAUUUUUUCUUUAGGUUAAAUCUCAAAAUAUGCCAUGUGAACAGAUGUUCAUUGUUCCAGCUUAUGUGGUUUAAGAUUGUGAAGUGUUUUACAAUGAGGUGGGCAACCAACUUCACGCAAGGUAGAACUAACUAUUGGGUUGGGCAGAUGGAAAGUUGCUGUUCAUCUGUAGAUAUUACUGUGUUUUUCUGCAGUGAACAUGGUUUAAAUGUGACAAGUGGAGCAUUAGUGCCGGGCAGGAUGACUGGAAAAUUUGGCUAGCAUAUGGACAUGUUUGGUUGGGAUCCUGAUCAUGUUGUAUUCCGUGGUGGCUGAUUUAUGGUGGUGUUUUUAAUAUAAUUUUGGCAAUCAAUAUGGUAGAUUGCUGAUUAAUAGUAACAUUUUUCUUUUUUGGGUUUUGUUAGCUAGUAGAAUUGUCAUCCGUCGAUGGUGUUUCGGUUCUGAUCGAAAUUUCUACGAGCAACCGAGGGAUUUUAUGUGGUAAAUUUGGUAUAAAUUUUUUGGUGCUAAUUUGCUUAUUUUUUUCAACAGUACUAAGCUUCGUCUAUUUCAUUCUGCAUUCGCCAUAGUAGAAAUACUGAAAAUGACGUCAAAGACAACGAGAUUUAACCAUAUUGAAAAUUGGGAGAUUUUUUGUUUUCCAAUGUAAAUUAAUUUUCAUAAAUUCAACAGUGCAGCUGUCAUUUUCUGUGGCUUUGUUUCACCUUUAUUUGUGAUAAAUCUGUGGGAAAGUCGUUAGAAAAUAUGGAAAUGAUAAUCGUUAUAUGAACAUGGAAAUUACUUCCAUUUCCAUGUUAUCAGUGGGUUAUUGGUUUUCAAGAUAUUUACGUCGAAACUUGUUCUUAAGAGUUGUCAAAUUUCUUUUUUGCCUUCUAUUUGGAAUACCACGAGUAUAUCUGAUGACGGAUCUGUUGACUGAAAUUGUUUUGCCCACACUAACUGAUUAUGAUUUUUAAAUGAACAUUUCAGUUGAUAAUAUAAAGCUUUAAAUUGAA